rnacentral:rRNA from 1 species
CCUACGGGUGGCAGCAGUGAGGAAUAUUGGUCAAUGGGCGGAAGCCUGAACCAGCCAAGUAGCGUGCAGGAUGACGGCCCUACGGGUUGUAAACUGCUUUUAUACGGGAAUAACGCGCCUUACGUGUAGGGCUUUGCAUGUACCGUAUGAAUAAGGACCGGCUAAUUCCGUGCCAGCAGCCGCGGUAAUACGGAAGGUGCGGGCGUUAUCCGGAUUUAUUGGGUUUAAAGGGUGCGUAGGCCGCAUGUCAAGCGUGCUGUGAAAUGUCCGGGCUCAACCCGGGCCUUGCAGCGCGAACUGGCUUGCUUGAGUCCGCGGAAAGCAGGCGGAAUUCGUGGUGUAGCGGUGAAAUGCUUAGAUAUUACGAAGAACCCCGAUUGCGAAGGCAGCUUGCUGCAGCGGAACUGACGCUGAUGCUCGAAAGCGCGGGUAUCGAACAGGAUUAGAUACCCCAGUAGUC